GCAUCGGUGGUUCAGUGGUAGAAUGCUCGCUUGCCACGCGGUUCGAUUCCCGGCCGAUGCA
rnacentral:tRNA from 1 species